UGUUUACUAUGAGCAGCAUCC
rnacentral:piRNA from 1 species